rnacentral:rRNA from 1 species
GACGAACGCUGGCGGCGUGCCUAAUACAUGCAAGUAGAACGCACAGUUUAUACCGUAGCUUGCUACACCAUAGACUGUGAGUUGCGAACGGGUGAGUAACGCGUAGGUAACCUGCCUGGUAGCGGGGGAUAACUAUUGGAAACGAUAGCUAAUACCGCAUAAUAUUGAUUAUUGCAUGAUAAUUGAUUGAAAGAUGCUAUUGCAUCACUACCAGAUGGACCUGCGUUGUAUUAGCUAGUAGGUGAGGUAACGGCUCACCUAGGCGACGAUACAUAGCCGACCUGAGAGGGUGAUCGGCCACACUGGGACUGAGACACGGCCCAGACUCCUACGGGAGGCAGCAGUAGGGAAUCUUCGGCAAUGGACGAAAGUCUUACCGAGCAACGCCGCGUGAGUGAAGAAGGUUUUCGGAUCGUAAAGCUCUGUUGUAAGAGAAGAACGGGUGUGAGAGUGGAAAGUUCACACUGUGACGGUAUCUUACCAGAAAGGGACGGCUAACUACGUG